rnacentral:rRNA from 2 species
GUGAAUGGUGUACACAGUCUGGCCUGCCCCCUGAGUUAUUUAAAGGGCCGCGGUAUCUGAACCGUGCUAAGGUAGCAUAAUAAAUAGUCUUUUAAUUGAGGUCUAGUAUGAAUGGUCGGACAGGGGGCAAGCUGUUUUGGUUGUAAAAUUUGAACUUUACUUUUAAGUGAAAAGGCUUAGAUUAAGUGGUGGGACGAUAAGACCCUAUAAAGCUUUACAUUCUGGUUGUUAGUUGGAGAGUUUAUGGUUUUCUGUUCUUGUCAAUUGGUGUGUUUCGUUGGGGCGACGGGAAUAUAA